rnacentral:rRNA from 1 species
AACGAACGCUGGCGGCAGGCCUAACACAUGCGAGUCGAGCGAGGACUUCGGUCCUAGCGGCGGACGGGUGAGUAACGCGUGGGAACGUGCCCUUUGCUUCGGAAUAGCCCUGGGAAACUGGGAGUAAUACCGGAUGAGCCCUUUGGGGGAAAGAUUUAUCGGCGAAGGAUCGGCCCGCGUUGGAUUAGGUAGUUGGUGGGGUAAUGGCCUACCAAGCCGACGAUCCAUAGCUGGUUUGAGAGGAUGAUCAGCCACACUGGGACUGAGACACGGCCCAGACUCCUACGGGAGGCAGCAGUGGGGAAUCUUAGACAAUGGGGGAAACCCUGAUCUAGCCAUGCCGCGUGAGCGAUGAAGGCCUUAGGGUUGUAAAGCUCUUUCAGCUGGGAAGAUAAUGACGGUACCAGCAGAAGAAGCCCCGGCUAACUCCGUG